rnacentral:rRNA from 1 species
GAACCUACGGGAGGCAGCAGUAGGGAAUCUUCCACAAUGGGCGAAAGCCUGAUGGAGCAACGCCGCGUGGGUGAAGAAGGUCUUCGGAUCGUAAAACCCUGUUGUUAGAGAAGAAAGUGCGUGAGAGUAACUGUUCACGUUUCGACGGUAUCUAACCAGAAAGCCACGGCUAACUACGUGCCAGCAGCCGCGGUAAUACGUAGGUGGCAAGCGUUAUCCGGAUUUAUUGUGCGUAAAGGGAACGCAGGCGGUCUUUUAAGUCUUAUGUGUAAGCCUUCGGCUUAACCGGUGUCGUGCAUUGGACA